rnacentral:rRNA from 1 species
CACGUAUCCAACCUGCCGUCUACUCUUGGUCAGCCUCCUUAAAGGAAGAUUAAUCCAGGAUGGGAUCAUGAGUUCACAUGUCCGCAUGAUUAAAGGUAUUUUCCGGUAGACGAUGGGGAUGCGUUCCAUUAGAUAGUAGGCGGGGUAACGGCCCACCUAGUCAACGAUGGAUAGGGGUUCUGAGAGGAAGGUCCCCCACAUUGGAACUGAGACACGGUCCAAACUCCUACGGGAGGCAGCAGUGAGGAAUAUUGGUCAAUGGGCGAUGGCCUGAACCAGCCAAGUAGCGUGAAGGAUGACUGCCCUAUGGGUUGUAAACUUCUUUUAUAAAGGAAUAAAGUCGGGUAUGCAUACCCGUUUGCAUGUACUUUAUGAAUAAGGAUCGGCUAACUCCGUGCCAGCAGCCGCGGUAAUACGGAGGAUCCGAGCGUUAUCCGGAUUUAUUGGGUUUAAAGGGAGCGUAGAUGGAUGUUUAAGUCAGUUGUGAAAGUUUGCGGCUCAACCGUAAAAUUGCAGUUGAUACUGGAUGUCUUGAGUGCAGUUGAGGCAGGCGGAAUUCGUGGUGUAGCGGUGAAAUGCUUAGAUAUCACGAAGAACUCCGAUUGCGAAGGCAGCCUGCUAAGCUGCAACUGACAUUGAGGCUCGAAAGUGUGGGUAUCAAACAGGAUUAGAUACCCUGGUAGUCCACACGGUAAACGAUGAAUACUCGCUGUUUGCGAUAUA